rnacentral:rRNA from 1 species
ACUCCUACGGGAGGCAGCAGUGGGGAAUAUUGCACAAUGGGCGCAAGCCUGAUGCAGCCAUGCCGCGUGUAUGAAGAAGGCCUUCGGUUGUAAAGUACUUUCAGCAGUGAGGAAGGUGGGUAUGUUAAUAGCAUAUUCAUUUGACGUUAGCUGCAGAAGAAGCACCGGCUAACUCCGUGCCAGCAGCCGCGGUAAUACGGAGGGUGCGAGCGUUAAUCGGAAUUACUGGGCGUAAAGCGCAUGCAGGUGGUUUGUUAAGUCAGAUGUGAAAGCCCGGGGCUCAACCUCGGAAUUGCAUUUGAAACUGGCAAACGUAGAGUACUGUAGAGGGGGUAGAAUUUCAGGUGUAGCGGUGAAAUGCGUAGAGAUCUGAAGGAAUACCGGUGGCGAAGGCGGCCCCCUGGACAGAUACUGACACUCAGAUGCGAAAGCGUGGGGAGCAAACAGGAUUAGAU